rnacentral:rRNA from 1 species
AUUGAACGCUGGCGGCAGGCCUAACACAUGCAAGUCGAGCGGAUGACGGGAGCUUGCUCCUUGAUUCAGCGGCGGACGGGUGAGUAAUGCCUAGGAAUCUGCCUGGUAGUGGGGGACAACGUCUCGAAAGGAACGCUAAUACCGCAUACGUCCUACGGGAGAAAGCAGGGGACCUUCGGGCCUUGCGCUAUCAGAUGAGCCUAGGUCGGAUUAGCUAGUUGGUGGGGCAAUGGCUCACCAAGGCGACGAUCCGGAACUGGUCUGAGAGAAUGAUCAGUCACACUGGAAGUGAGACACGGUCCAGACUCCUACGGGAGGCAGCAGUGGGGAAUAUUGGACAAUGGGCGAAAGCCUGAUCCAGCCAUGCCGCGUGUGUGAAGAAGGUCUUCGGAUUGUAAAGCACUUUAAGUUGGGAGGAAGGGCAGUAAGCUAAUACCUUGCUGUUUUGACGUUACCGACAGAAUAAGCACCGGCUAACUCUGUGCCAGCCGCCGCGGUAA